rnacentral:rRNA from 1 species
UACGUAGGGUGCGAGCGUUUGUCCGGAAUUAUUGGGCGUAAAGAGCUCGUAGGCGGUUUGUUGCGUCUAUCGUGAAAACCUGCGGCUUAACUGUGGGCUUGCGGUGGAUACGGGCAGACUUGAGUUCGGUAGGGGAGACUGGAAUUCCUGGUGUAGCGGUGAAAUGCGCAGAUAUCAGGAGGAACACCGGUGGCGAAGGCGGGUCUCUGGGCCGAUACUGACGCUGAGGAGCGAAAGCGUGGGGAGCGAACAGG